ACAGGACCAACCAGAGAAAGUUGGAGUGCUGGUGGAAGGAAGUUCCAGGCAUUUUCUUAUCUCUUUUUUGUUCUUCAUUUAGAUAAAAUCAACUUAGCAGAAAAGUUGACUCUGUUGUUAAAUUUUGCAAUGAACGAGUGGGAAACAUUCUUCCGAUUUCGACUUUCUUCAGAUGAUGCCAGAGCCUUGAAACAAUCGCUGGCUCCACUGUUUCCUUUCACACUGAAAUUGCUCAUCCCCAGCAUGAAGUUUAUGCUUCAUUAUGUGUUUCUCUGCAGUGCAAAUUUCACAUCAGGACGUGCCAUCAGAGGUGGGAUCGGUGAGGAGCCCACGGCCGGGGAGGACCGAUGUGAGUGCGUGCCAAGGGCCGCCGGCUGCUGACCCCCCUGCUUUGGAGAAGCUCAGGGCGCCAUGCCCGCUUCGAGGGGUGGCUCCUUGUGCACCUGGACCUGAGGCCGGGGAUCCCACCCUCAGAGGGCCUGCCUCCCUCCAGGUGCCUGGUUCUGGGGUCCCUCCCUCUCUGGGUGCAGGUGGGGGAUGGAGAAGGGAGAGGAGGCAGGAAGGAGAGCCAGAGGUGAGGAGCGCCGAGCGGCGGCCAUGAGGGCAGAGCCUGGGGUGCUGGCCAUGCCCACCCUGGUUUCCUUCCUUCCUCGCUUCCACCUGCACCUUUCCGGUGAUACCUCCCGAGCAUCACAGCAACCUUGAAUAACACACCUGCUGAGGUGCUUUUAAGGAAAAGCACCUGCCGCUUCUGAGCACACCCACACACCUCACCCCACGUCCGAGCCCACAGCCUGGGAAGGGCUGCCCCGCCUUCACUUUCCUGCAGAGCUGGCCCGCCUCCUGCUCUGCACCCCACAGCACCCAGCACCUCUUUUUGACCGAUUACCAUGUCUGCGCCCACGGGAGAGGCAGGCGUGCGAUAUUUAGGAGCCGGACUGCCAGCUUCAAAUCCUCUGUGAUCUCAG
rnacentral:lncRNA from 1 species